rnacentral:rRNA from 1 species
ACGCUCGACACCUACGGAGGCAGCAGUGGGGAAUAUUGCACAAUGGGGGAAACCCUGAUGCAGCGACGCCGCGUGAGCGAAGAAGUAUUUCGGUAUGUAAAGCUCUAUCAGCAGGGAAGAAACUGACGGUACCUGACUAAGAAGCACCGGCUAAAUACGUGCCAGUAGCCGCGGUAAUCUGAGCGGGCUGGCAAGGC